UGGGGAAUAUUGGACAAUGGGCGCAAGCCUGAUCCAGCCAUGCCGCGUGAGUGAUGAAGGCCCUAGGGUUGUAAAGCUCUUUCACCGGUGAAGAUAAUGACGGUAACCGGAGAAGAAGCCCCGGCUAACUUCGUGCCAGCAGCCGCGGUAAUACGAAGGGGGCUAGCGUUGUUCGGAUUUACUGGGCGUAAAGCGCACGUAGGCGGACUAUUAAGUCAGGGGUGAAAUCCCGGGGCUCAACCCCGGAACUGCCUUUGAUACUGGUAGUCUUGAGUUCGAGAGAGGUGGGUGGAAUUCCGGGUGUAGAGGUGAAAUUCGUAGAUAUUCGGGGGAACACCAGUGGCGAAGGCGGCUCACUGGCUCGAUACUGACGCUGAGGUGCGAAAGCGUGGGGAGCAAACAGG
rnacentral:rRNA from 1 species